rnacentral:rRNA from 1 species
UGGGGAAUUUUCCGCAAUGGGCGCAAGCCUGACGGAGCAAUACCGCGUGAGGGAGGAAGGCUCUUGGGUCGUAAACCUCUUUUCUCAGGGAAGAACACAAUGACGGUACCUGAGGAAUCAGCAUCGGCUAACUCCGUGCCAGCAGCCGCGGUAAUACGGAGGAUGCAAGCGUUAUCCGGAAUGAUUGGGCGUAAAGCGUCCGUAGGUGGUUUUGUAAGUCUGUGGUUAAAGCGUGUAGCUCAACUACAUAANGGCCAUGGAAACUACAUAACUUGAGUCAAGUAGGGGUAGAGGGAAUUCCCAGUGUAGCGGUGAAAUGCGUAGAGAUUGGGAAGAACACCGGUGGCGAAAGCGCUCUACUGGACUUAAACUGACACUGAGGGACGAAAGCUAGGGGAGCGAAAGGGAUUAGAUACCCCUGUAGUC